rnacentral:rRNA from 1 species
GGAAACCGGAGCUAAUACCGGAUAACAUGUUGAACCGCAUGGUUCAACAGUGAAAGACGGUCUUGCUGUCACUUAUAGAUGGAUCCGCGCCGCAUUAGCUAGUUGGUAAGGUAACGGCUUACCAAGGCAACGAUGCGUAGCCGACCUGAGAGGGUGAUCGGCCACACUGGAACUGAGACACGGUCCAG